rnacentral:rRNA from 1 species
CGAGUGGCGGACGGGUGAGUAAUGCGUAGGAAUCUACCUAAUUGUGUGGGAUAGCCUAGGGAAACUUAGGGUAAUACCGCAUAAGCCCUACGGGGGAAAGGCAGGGGACUGUUAAAGGCCUUGCGCGAUUAGAUGAGCUUACGUCGGAUUAGCUAGUUGGUGGGGUAAAGGCCUACCAAGGCGAUGAUCCGUAGCUGGUCUGAGAGGACGACCAGCCACACUGGGACUGAGACACGGCCCAG